GACGAACGCUGGCGGCGUGCUUAACACAUGCAAGUCGAACGGAAAGGCCCUGCUUGCAGGGUACUCGAGUGGCGAACGGGUGAGUAACACGUGGGUGAUCUGCCCUGCACUUCGGGAUAAGCCUAGGAAACUGGGUCUAAUACCGGAUAGGAGCCAUUUUUAGUGUGAUGGUUGGAAAGUUUUUUCGGUGUAGGAUGAGCUCGCGGCCUAUCAGCUUGUUGGUGGGGUAAUGGCCUACCAAGGCGGCGGCGGGUAGCCGGCCUGAGAGGGUGGACGGCCACAUUGGGACCGAGGUACGGCCCAGGUUGCGACGGGAGGCAGCAGUGGGGAAGAUUGCACAAGGGGCGCAAGCCUGAUGCAGCGACGCCGCGUGGGGGAUGACGGCCUUCGGGUUGUAAACUCCUUUCGCUAGGGACGAAGCUUUUUGUGACGGUACCUAGAGAAGAAGCACCGGCUAACUACGUG
rnacentral:rRNA from 1 species